AGUGAACGCUGGCGGUAGGCCUAACACAUGCAAGUCGAACGGCAGCACAGUAAGAGCUUGCUCUUACGGGUGGCGAGUGGCGGACGGGUGAGGAAUACAUCGGAAUCUACUUUUUCGUGGGGGAUAACGUAGGGAAACUUACGCUAAUACCGCAUACGACCUACGGGUGAAAGCAGGAGAUCUUCGGACCUUGCGCGAUUGAUUGAGCCGAUGUCGGAUUAGCUAGUUGGCGGGGUAAAGGCUCACCAAGGCGACGAUCCGUAGCUGGUCUGAGAGGAUGGUCAGCCACACUGGAACGGGGACAGGGCCCAGACUCCUACGGGAGGCAGCAGUGGGGAAUAUUGGACAAGGGGGGCAAGCCUGAGCCAGCCAUACCGGGUGGGUGAAGAAGGCCUUCGGGUUGUAAAGCCCUUUUGUUGGGAAAGAAAAGCAGCAGGUUAAUACCCCGCGGUUCUGACGGUACCCAAAGGAUAAGCACCGGCUAACUUGGU
rnacentral:rRNA from 1 species